UUCAGAUUUUACUGUGUUUUCUUUGCUAAUAAUUGUUUCUUGUUUCACAGGGAGAAGGAAGUUGACAUGCGAUCGACAGAAGGUCGCUAUGUCUCCUCUGAAACAAUACCGGACGUGAACUUGGGAAGUGAUGAUCCUUCCUCUCAAGGACACACAGAACAAAGUAGUGUAAACAGGCCUGCAGAGAGCAU